UAGGGAAUCUUCGGCAAUGGGGGCAACCCUGACCGAGCAACGCCGCGUGAGUGAAGAAGGUUUUCGGAUCGUAAAGCUCUGUUGUAAGUCAAGAACGGGUGUGAGAGUGAAAGUUCACACUGUGACGGUAGCUUACCAGAAAGGGACGGCUAACUACGUGCCAGCAGCCGCGGUAAUACGUAGGUCCCGAGCGUUGUCCGGAUUUAUUGGGCGUAAAGCGAGCGCAGGCGGUUUGAUAAGUCUGAAGUUAAAGGCUGUGGCUCAACCAUAGUUCGCUUUGGAAACUGUCAAACUUGAGUGCAGAAGGGGAGAGUGGAAUUCCAUGUGUAGCGGUGAAAUGCGUAGAUAUAUGGAGGAACACCGGUGGCGAAAGCGGCUCUCUGGUCUGUAACUGACGCUGAGGCUCGAAAGCGUGGGGAGCGAACAGG
rnacentral:rRNA from 1 species